CCUUCCUUAAAUGCUCACGAAGCGACCAAUGUCCAACCAGAGGUUGGUCUUGCACUUUGCUCCGUAGUCAUCACUGCUCAACCACUCAAUUGGAUAACACCUCAUGUGAUUCCCCUAUUCCUACUAAAGUCCUUUCGUCCAACAUUUCCUAUCUCCCCAAGGCUUCCCAUACCCAAUUGGUUUGAAAAAGUAAGCAUUUUUUGCCUCCCCUAGUGCUCCUCAACUGGUUAUUUCUUUGAAUCCUCCUAAUAACAUGCCUAAGAAAUCCAAAAUUUCAUUUGCUCCUCACCCUUCUUCUACUAAAGUGAGGCCUAGUUCUCCGGAUUGCCUCAUUGAUCAAAGUACCCAAAAGGGGUAGACUAGUUCUUGCCAACAUGCCUCUUUUUUAUCAAAUCAACUAUACUUCCCCUUAGUGCUGCAUAAAAAAUAUCAAAACCUUCUUCAGAUCCAACUCUUAAAACUAAUGAACAACAACUCGCACCCUCAUCUAACGCCAUCGUAACCACUACUUCCAUUAUCCCAACUCCUUUUUCUCCCCUCGCUUCGCUCGACCUCCCCCUUUCUGAUGCUUUACUACAACACUUGCGAGCUUCCUCUAUGGAUACUACCACAUUCUUCUCUAGUGACUACAGUAGUGGCAGUAUUGAAGAGAGGCUUUUUACUCUUUUGAAUCUAUCACUCCCUCGUUAUCCUCUAAUUGAUCUCUCAGUGUCUCAGAAAUCUGACAUUGGCACUUCCUCUCUUGACGUGACCCCUAAUAUCACUUCUCCGACUUUGACAAUAUUUCCUGAAGCUGUUGUCACGGGUGUGAGGAUUUUACCAUCCAUCCCCGCUGAUUCUUUCCCCUUGUAACAAAUUUAGGAGUUGAAUUUGUUACAACUAGGACUAUUGGGGAAAUAACUUCUACACUUGUGACGCCUAUUGCCAAUGACACUAGUAUAAGCAACUCUACAUUGCUUCAUUGCUUCAUUCUCCUAUCUAUUUGUUCCUUAGUACGGAUGUAAUUGUUGUAUUAAUGAAUGACACAUGCAUCGCACAUCAUUUAUUAUUUGGUCUGUAGGUAAUUCCUUCCACGAAACUUCUUCAUCAUCUCUGGAUAUUACCCUCUUGGUAGAUUCCCUUUACUUUCUCUAUUUAUGCUUGUAGUUUAUUCAUUACUUUCAAAACUCUAAACAAUUUGUAUGCUCUUGUACACACGAGGUUUCUCGCGGCAGGUGUCCUAGAAUAAACAUGAAGUUUCAAAGCUGAACAACAAGUUGCUCGGGAAGUGCAGAGUAAACAUCAAGAACACCUAAAGUCUGCUAAAGAAUCCCAUAAAAAAGCAGAAGAUGAGCUUGCUUCCACCAAAAUUGAACUGGUCCAAGUGCAAGGGCAACUCUCGAGUGCAUCCACCACACUUAAUGAGAGGAAUACUCUGAAAAAUGAACCUUACAAAAGUGGAAUAAAAGCUCGUCAGUGUCAAUUCCAUUGAGAGGAAACAAUAUCAGUUAACCUAAGAGCUAGCAAAAGCAACAUCAGAAAUAUCAUAUUUUAAUGGUGAGCUUCUGAAGCGCUUGAAAGUUAGCCAAACUCAAGAUGAAUCACUGGCCUUGAAGUCAAUUCUUACAAGAAAGCUUGAAGAUACAGUGGCUUCUUUAACAACAGAGGUAAAGAACACUGAGUGGUCCUAGAAAGAGAGAUACACCAUUGGGAUUGCCGAGCUCUUUAAAGGAGGCCAUAGUGGAAAAGGAGAAAAAGUAUUCCAAACCUUAGAAGCUCACACUCUUGAAGAACCAGAAAUUGGAAGUCUCACGUAUUCAGUUCCCCUGCCUACAUCAGUGAUCAGGUGAAGGUGGAAAAAAUAAUUGCCAGAGUAUCAGAUUUAGAAAUUGCCUCUAAUCGAGAUUCCAUGGCCCAAGACUAUGACUUGUUCACCAUCAAAAAAAUAGACAUUGUUAAGGGAAUUUGCGCUUGGUUCAGCAAUGAAUAUGGGCUUUAUGAUUUUAAAGACUACAGGCCCAACUUGGUGAUUUUCGUUUUUCUUAUCCUGUUGCUCACAUGGAAGAGCUUAAACAGAGACAGGGUACUAUCGGCUUCAUUUACCAAGCUCAUCGUGAACUUAUUCUGAAACCCUCAACAGAUGUUAUGAAUCAAUUAACUUAUGAAGUCAGGCCAACUCUCCCAUCUGUUGUUUAUGAAUUAUGGACUUAGGGCUCUUCGGCCAAAAGAAAGAAUGUCGUCAUUACUGCAGCUCAUUAUUAAUCUGUUCCACCUCCGACAACCCUGAGAACCACUGCUCUUGAGGGUAGCCAGAAGCCUUAGGAUUUAGUCAAUCUUUUGCAUUCGUGAUGUAAAUAACACUUUAAUUAGAAGAACUCCUCUCUAGAUUCUAACUUGCGCUUUACUGUUCCUGUAUCUAGGCAUGAUUGACUACUUGUGUAAUGUCCCAAAUUACCUAAUAAGGCUUAGGCCUUGAUUAGGGGUCAGAAUGACAAAUUAUGGAACUUAUGUGCUUAUGUCAUAUUUAUGGGCAUCAUUGUAUGAUUAUGCGAGUUAUAUUAUGAUAUGACUUAAUAUGAA